rnacentral:rRNA from 1 species
UACAGAGGGUGCGAGCGUUGUCCGGAAUCACUGGGCGUAAAGGGCGCGUAGGUGGCGCGACAAGUCAGUGGUGAAAGUUCGACGCUUAACGUCGAAUCGGCCACUGAUACUGUUGGGCUUGAGCACUGUAGAGGCUAAUGGAAUUCCGGGUGUAGCGGUGGAAUGCGUAGAGAUCCGGAAGAACACCGGUGGCGAAGGCGGUUAGCUGGGCAGUUGCUGACACUGAGGCGCGACAGCGUGGGGAGCAAACAGG